rnacentral:misc_RNA from 1 species
ACUCAAAGUUUUAUCAGAGCUGGCAGAAUUUCAAAGAAAACAAUGCUUAUUUAAACAAAAUGUUUGAGUUAAAGAUGAAGUAUGAUGAGAGUGACAAUCCUGCCAUCAGAGUCACCCGGGCACUCACAGAUUUAAUAGGAAAAGCUCUAGGUACUGUAUUAACACCAUCUACUCUGAGUGAAACCCUGACAGAAAUCAACAAAUACGACCCAUCAUUUACACCGGAAGGAUUCGCAGCAUUUUGUGAAAACGUUGUUGUACCGAACAUACUAGAGGCCAUGAUUAGAGCUGAUUUAGAAGUUUUAAAAGACUGGAUGCACGAAUCUGCCUACAAUGUGACGUCUUCUAUACUUAAGCCUUACUAUAGAGGCCAGAUACAAACCAUGCUCACAGAUUAUUGACAUUGGCCGGGUGGAUGUUCUUGGAGGUCAGGUUAUGGAACAGGGACCAGUAUUACUUAUACAAUUCCAUGCCCAUCAGAUUGAAUGCUGGCGGGAUUUUAAACAGGAAGUGGUCGUUGGUAACCCAGAGGAGAUUGUGAAGAUGACCUACACAUGGGCUCUUAUGUCGAGACCAGGAAGAACUGGACCCCAAGGCCGCCUGGAAACUGUUGGAAUUCAGUGCCAUGAAAACGAACGUCAUCAUCUAGGAGUUUAAAAAAACUUUAAAUAGAGCGUUUUAACACAUCUGCAGAUAAGAUUGGUGCCAAACAUGACAAAAUUUCUCUCCAUGAACAAUUCAAAGGGAGAUAAGAGAUGCCAGACCAGGGCCCUUCCUGUCCGUGUGACUGUAGGUGCGACACUGGUAACUCUGCUUACAAUGUGUUAAUUCUCUGGAGAACGUCCCCUCAUUAACUACUGCCCUGAGGGGAUGUUAUAUAUCUGUAAGGUGUGAUAUUUAAUGACAGUAUAUGAGGGAGUUUUGUAAACAUAUUGAAUAAACAGUGUGGCUGACUUAUUAUGAAAUCUUCAUUCAAAAAUGCAAAAAUAUCUUGGGCAUAUCCCUUUACUUUUGUUUGUUGAUCCAAUGCACACUUGUUAAAGACUGGGAUAUACCGUAUGAUAAGCUUGUUUCAGUCCUAAACUACAUUUUUAGUUAUUGUAUGUAAAUUAUAAUACAUGUAUGACUGAAUAUAAAUGAGUAUGUAAGAUUUG